GGAGGGGUGUCCGAGUGGUUGAAGGAGGCGGUCUUGAAAACCGCUAGGAGUUUGAAGCUCCUCGUGGGUUCGAAUCCCACCCCCUCCGCCA
rnacentral:tRNA from 1 species